rnacentral:rRNA from 1 species
CGAACGAUGAUCCCAGCUUGCUGGGGGAUUAGUGGCGAACGGGUGAGUAACACGUGAGUAACCUGCCCUUAACUCUGGGAUAAGCCUGGGAAACUGGGUCUAAUACCGGAUAUGACUCCUCAUCGCAUGGUGGGGGGUGGAAAGCUUUAUUGUGGUUUUGGAUGGACUCGCGGCCUAUCAGCUUGUUGGUGAGGUAAUGGCUCACCAAGGCGACGACGGGUAGCCGGCCUGAGAGGGUGACCGGCCACACUGGGACUGAGACACGGCCCAGACUCCUACGGGAGGCAGCAGUGGGGAAUAUUGCACAAUGGGCGAAAGCCUGAUGCAGCGACGCCGCGUGAGGGAUGACGGCCUUCGGGUUGUAAACCUCUUUCAGUAGGGAAGAAGCGAAAGUGACGGUACCUGCAGAAGAAGCGCCGGCUAACUACGUGCCAGCAGCCGCGGUAAUACGUAGGGCGCAAGCGUUAUCCGGAAUUAUUGGGCGUAAAGAGCUCGUAGGCGGUUUGUCGCGUCUGCCGUGAAAGUCCGGGGCUCAACUCCGGAUCUGCGGUGGGUACGGGCAGACUAGAGUGAUGUAGGGGAGACUGGAAUUCCUGGUGUAGCGGUGAAAUGCGCAGAUAUCAGGAGGAACACCGAUGGCGAAGGCAGGUCUCUGGGCAUUAACUGACGCUGAGGAGCGAAAGCAUGGGG